AGGAAAACAUAAGAGGCGAGAGAACUCAAGAAAACACAUUACUAACAAUAAGAGAUGUCCUUUCCUUGGAUCCUUCAUCUGAAACAUCCAAUCACCAUCUGAUUUCUGAUUAAUGGGCAUGGCACUUCACAAAAAACCUCCGUGAACUUUGUGUAUCCUCAGCCAUGGCUCCUCCAGCACCAUCUUCGCUCCCUGCUCCUUGGUCCUCAGAGCCGAUGUGUUUUAUGGUGUUUUACAGACAACAACAUGGCCCAUUACAGCCACCACCUGACCUGGAGUGUGGAUCAGGAAGAAACAGAUGUCCAUGCGACCUACCUCCAUUAACCAGAGCUCCUCUGGAGUAUAACUCAGCGCUGCUCCAGAUCCUACCCAGCCUCCAGACAUCAGGCCCAGCCCUCACCAUCCUUCUGCCUAGACGUGGGACUUCCAGACCACACUCAGCGGCUGUGACGGCGCGGCGUCGAGCCAAGCCUGGCACUGUCUUCAUAUAACUCCUGCUGGAGGUGGGAGAGUGCUAGCUGGACUCUG